rnacentral:rRNA from 1 species
CUGGAACGCGCCCCAGGCGCACCCAGAAACCCUUUGUGAACUUAUACCUUACUGUUGCCUCGGCGCUAGCUGGUCCUUCGGGGCCCCUCACCCUCGGGUGUUGAGACAGCCCGCCGGCGGCCAACCUAACUCUUGUUUUUACACUGAAACUCUGAGAAUAAAACAUAAAUGAAUCAAAACUUUCAACAACGGAUCUCUUGGUUCUGGCAUCGAUGAAGAACGCAGCGAAAUGCGAUAAGUAAUGUGAAUUGCAGAAUUCAGUGAAUCAUCGAAUCUUUGAACGCACAUUGCGCCCUCUGGUAUUCCGGAGGGCAUGCCUGUUCGAGCGUCAUUUCAACCCUCAAGCCUGGCUUGGUGAUGGGGCACUGCUUCUUACCCGAGGAGCAGGCCCUGAAAUUCAGUGGCGAGCUCGCCAGGACCCCGAGCGCAGUAGUUAAACCCUCGCUCUGGAAGGCCCUGGCGGUGCCCUGCCGUUAAACCCCCAACUUCUGAAAAU